rnacentral:sRNA from 1 species
UAAAUAAAUGGUAUUCGAUUUUUAAAAC